CCAGAGCCCAAAGAAGAAAGGCGCUGGGGGGCGGGGAACUGAGGAGGCCGGAGAGAGGGGGAGCGGUGGGUCUGGGAAGACAGGUAAAGUCGGGGAAAUUUCGAGAACUCCCCCGAGUUAACCCUUCAGGGCACCCACCACUAGGAGGAGCCUCCCUGCUCCCCCCACCUCACCCCAGGCAAAUCCUCUAGUCAGCGUUCUGACAACGUUAAUUUCCUUUGUGUGGGUCAUUUCUUCUUUUUGAAAAUCCAAGAUAAAGUUGACAGUCUUUAUAGAUGAAAGGAGGGAGGUGACAGUCGGGAUUAAUCCAAAUAAAUACUCAUUUCUCUCUCAGAAAUUUUUAGGCAAUCUCAGAUUAAAAAUAAAACCCCCAAAGCAUCACUUUUGUAUUGCACAUUAUGCUGCCUCCCUCUUCUCACCCUUGUAGCGAAGUCUGAGGGGAGGAGGCGGGGAAGCGCUACUGAUAAUACCAGCUUUAACUACUGGAGUUUCCCUUUGAACAAAUAUUCAAUUUAACCGGAGUUAAUUUACCAUAAAAGACAUUCCCCUUGGCACGAAUGCACUCAUGUCCUUGAACACACCUCUUUGAAUGCCUGGACUCUUACAGAAGCCAUUAUUUCGGGUCUCUUUAAAAAUCCGGAGCCCAUCUCUCUCUCUUUCUCUCCCUCCCUCCUUUCUUCCCUCCCUCCACACCACACCACCCCCAGUGAAAUCCUGGCACCCAGAGAGCGCUCCUUUCAGCCAGAGAUCCCAGAACCAGCCGCUGUCCCCUGGCAAAAGAGGCCCAGGGCUGAGCCCUGGGCAAGUGUCUGCAGACAACGUACCCCUCCUCUCCUGUUAGUUUCCCUUACCAACAGAAAUCAUUUCCCUCUGCCACCCAAACCAGAUUGCAUCCAAAAGUUUCUCAUAAGCUUAAAAACGAAAAGCGAAAAAUUGACAACUGUUACACAGAAGAGCCCACAAAUCUACAGCAGCAGCAGGGUGAAGAAGCAGCGACAGACCCAGCUCUUGAAUGUGAUUUGAGGGGAGGCUCAACAACCACACACCCUAGCUGCUUCGCCAAUAUCAAUAUUUUAAAACUAAAUACAAAAGAGACAGAUGACCUCCUGACCCCAGGACCCAGGCCUGCAAAACUGCAAGUAUUCACCACACCAGGCCCAGGGUCCUAUCCUCCUGCCAGGUGAACCACAAAAAUCAUAUGCGUGUAGCCCAGAAAACACAAUUUCAUAUCCACAAGGGGGAACACCAAAAAUCCACUCAAAAGCACAUAUAUAAACAACCAACAAGUACUGAAAUUGCCUGCACUUGAUGGGAAUUACAGAAUCAUGCCCAGCUCUCUCAGCCCUUAAACUACUAACUGUCAAAUUAGGGUAGCAAUUUUUCCCUCCUAGAAAAUUCACAACUGGUUAGCUCCCCACCCCCACCCCCCCACUGCCAGCGCUUUGCCUUUCACUGAAAGGAAUAAAUAACCGUGGACUUUUCUUCCCUCCUCUGGGAGCUGUUUGGUGUCCCCUGAGGACAAAACUAAAUGAGAAAAAUGACGCUGUUAAUAAUGUCGCUGCUGAAAUGCCUGUACUCGACUGUUAAAAAAAAAAAAAAAAAAAAAAAAACCAUCCCACUAAGUGUGCUUACAUUUCGGGCACAUUUAAAAGCUACGACAGAAUGUGAACAGCCACUAGGCCAGACUCCUCUAUUAAGGUUAGCCGGUUUCCACUUCUCUCCAGAGAUGAAACGAGUUCAUCAGCAGAGUCCCAACUUCUGAAGACAUUUGCUCCCGGAUUACAAAGUCAGCAGUUGCCUGAAACUUUUGCAUGAUUUAUUUUAAACCUUGAAAAUCACGGUAAUAAUUGCCUUGCUUCAUUCACAGUUCUUCAAAAGUUCCUUGCAGUCUCUUCUCUGCUGAGGCUGAGAAUGUACUUAUAGUCGUUUUUCAAAACAGUUGACCUUUAAAGUAAAACUAUACUAUCAUUUUAUUUCUACAUAUAAACUGAUUUUUUUGUUACUUAUCUACAUACGCCGAUGUGACAGGAAAACAGAUCAGUUUUAAGGAGGUGUUUAAAAGCUUUAUCCUUAUUUUGGAUAAGGAGUCUUUACAUUCUAUAUUAAUAAGUAUAGAAGGUGUACUGCAAAGAAACUCAAACUUUUUGCACCCAUUUCUCUAAGUCUUCCUUUGAAAACUGCCAUUCUGUUUCAAAAUCAAAAUAACACAUGACAACAGAAUUGAGCAUUUUAACUUUCAAAUUAAAAAUUUAACAAACAAUUGUGUAAUUACAAAGAGAAAGACAAACUAUUGGGCCUACACAAAAUAUAUGUUCAGUAAACUUCAUCUCUGAAAUGUUUUAACAACACAGAAAGUUAAUAAAUUUCAAAGCAAUAAAAUUGUCAAAUCACGUGAUGUCACAAACUCUAAAAGCAAGGUUACAGAUGUUCAUGACAUCAUAUUCACUCAUAAUUAUACUGCUGCUCAGUCUGAUCAUAUUAAAAUUAAAAGAUGUCUAUGUCUGCUAAAGAAUAAAAGGAAUUUAUUUUGGACAUCAAACAAUGAAA